UCCCAAUGAUGAUAAAUUUUCCCUGACUUGAAACAUGGAGGCAAAUAUUAAGUGAUUUAAUCUGAGGG